rnacentral:rRNA from 1 species
ACGGAAGGCAGCAGUGGGGGAUAUUGCACAAUGGGGGAAACCCUGAUGCAGCGACGCCGCGUGAGUGAAGAAGUAUUUCGGUAUGUAAAGCUCUUUAAGCUGGAAAGAUAAUGACGGUACCUGAAUAAGAAGCCCCGGCUAACUACGUGCCAGCAGCCGCGGUAAUACGUAGGGGGCAAGCGUUAUCCGGAUUUACUGGGUGUAAAGGGAGCGUAGACGGCAAGGCAAGUCUGAUGUGAAAACCCGGGGCUCAACCUCGGGACUGCAUUGGAAACUGUCUGGCUAGAGUGCAGGAGAGGUAAGUGGAAUUCCUAGUGUAGCGGUGAAAUGCGUAGAUAUUAGGAGGAACACCAGUGGCGAAGGCGGCUUACUGGACUGUAACUGACGUUGAGGCUCGAAAGCGUGGGUAGCAAACAGGAUUAGAUACCCUGGUA